ensembl:lncRNA
CAUGGGUUUAAAUUUAAGCUCUGAAUAGCUGCAAUAGCUUAGAUUCUCAAGGUAGUAUAACAUCUAACUCCUGUUGGAGGUAGGGCAGUUCAGUCUCUGGGAAAUUGCCAUUGUCUGAAAUAUGACAGUGACCGAGAUAAGCACAGCCUCAGGCAUCUCCUCUUGCCUUAAUAGCUAGAUAAGUUGUUUACUGUCUAGGUCAGUAGAUGGAUGUCUCACACGCAGUAUGUCACACCAUCUGUGAGCUAUGACCAGAUAAUGCUACUGCUUCUGCAAAGGCCUCAGAAUCAGUCACACAAUUGUCUGCAACUCCGAACAGCAGCUGCAAGAUCACAACUGUGCACAGUAGUCCCGCCCCAUAGACUGUUGCGGUUCCUUAGCCCAAAUCCAUCAACAGAAAAUGUGGAGGGCAUAUGGGAAGAGAGAGAGCUGUGUGUGCUGUGGACCUCCCAGAUGGCUGCCAGCCCCACAGAGAGUGAGGCAGCAGUCCCAACCAGUGGAACACUCUUAAGAGCUGUAAGAAGAAAGUUUUAAGAGGGAAGUUCAUGUUCAAGAACAAGGGAGAAUGAGGGAAGAGAAGGAAAGAACUGAAAAAGUGCAAAAAGAAAGGAGGGAAGGAAGGAUACCCCUGUAUGUCACAUCCACCGUGUCCCAGUUGGGCUCUGGCACCUCUACAGUGACCAGAUGUGAUGAGAUGGCUCAGGCCAGCAAGGAUUGCUUUGAGAAACUCUGGAAGGAAAGAGAAGACACUUGGAGGAAUGUAUCAUGGAACUGAUUUACAUUAAAAACUAUUACUCACACAUUUCUCCAUUUUCUGCUAGCUUAGCUUCAUCCUGGGUAAUCAGUUCACUGCAUCAGGAGUAAGAAGGCUGCCUAAAUGGGUCUUCCUACAUGGCUACUGAAAAGAUAAGCAGAAAAAACUAAACUGUAAGUGAAAGAUCUGAUUAUCGCAUGUCUUCCAUAAAUUCAAUCUGGGUUUGCAAAACUCCAUCAGAUCAAAAGAGUAAUGGUGAAGUAGUUUUUCAUAAUCCUGCCACAUCAUGAGCAGGAUUCUUAUGAAGACAGGAGGAGUUCCCAGUAGAGGGAAAAAGAACAGUGGGACCCAAGAAGAGUGGAAAAUAGGAGUUAGCUUCACUUCCCACUUUAACAGUUCCAAUGAGAAACUGUAGUUCCAAGUAAGAACAGAGAGACAAACAAUUGAAAAAGGUGAUAAUUUAAAUGAUCUACUACAAAGAUUUUGUAAAAAUAACACCAGAAUCUAUCAUCUGAGAAGAUCACUCAGUGGAACGGUAUGUAUUUGUUUUGACAAAGGAUUGGAAACAUGUUGGUAGAGCAAGCUGAAAAGUUUUGAUAGAAUCCCUUUCCAAGGGAAAACUCUAAAAUUCUUGCACGCAGAUGCUUGAACAGUAUGUACAUUAUAUUUCAAUUAUGCAGAUCUAGUUUGAAAGAUUUUGAACUAUU